rnacentral:rRNA from 1 species
GAUGAACGCUGGCGGCGUGCCUAACACAUGCAAGUCGAGCGGGCUUUACCAGACAGAAGCCUUCGGGUGGAAGCUUGGUAAAGCUAGCGGCGGACGGGUGAGUAACGCGUGGGUAACCUGCCGAGUACAGGGGGAUAACACUUAGAAAUAGGUGCUAAUACCCCAUAAGCUCCCAUUGUCGCAUGGCAGAGGGAGAAAAGAUUUAUCGGUAUUCGAGGGGCCCGCGUCUGAUUAGCUAGUUGGUGGGGUAAAGGCCCACCAAGGCGACGAUCAGUAGCCGACCUGAGAGGGUGACCGGCCACAUUGGGACUGAGGCACGGCCCAAACUCCUACGGGAGGCAGCAGUGGGGAAUAUUGCACAAUGGGGGAAACCCUGAUGCAGCAACGCCGCGUGAAGGAAGAAGGCUCUCGGGUCGUAAACUUCUAUCGAUGGGGAAGAAAAAAUGACGGUACCCAAGUAAGAAGCCCCGGCUAACUACGUGCCAGCCGC